rnacentral:rRNA from 1 species
CUGCUGCCUCCCGUAGGAGUUUGGACCGUGUCUCAGUUCCAAUGUGGGGGACCUUCCUCUCAGAACCCCUACGCAUCGUCGGCUUGGUGGGCCGUUGCCCCACCAACUACCUAAUGCGCCACAUGCCCAUCCGUGACCGGGGUCGCCCCCUUUGACCGGCAGGGGAUGUCCCCUCCCGGCAUUAUGUUGUAUUAGGCGGGAUUUCUCCCGGUUAUCCAUCUGUCACGGCCAGGUUGCAUACGUGUUACUCACCCGUGCGCCGGUCGCCGGCGG